rnacentral:lncRNA from 1 species
CUGAUUAUUUGGAUUCUUAGAUAUCUGCAAAGAGUAGUAACAAUUGUGCUUAAUGAGUUUUUAAAAUAGUUUUAAUGAUUUUUACAUCUAUUUGAUAAUUAAAUGGUCAAGCAUAUAAAGAUCAAAUAUAUAUCUUAAUAUUUUGCUAAUAAGUUAUUUGGAUAUAUGAUUUAUUUUGAGUAAUAGAUUUGGAAAAUUUGAUGGAAUAAGUUGUGAAUAUA